UGGUUUGAAAAAAGAUCGUCGAGUGUUUAUUUGUCCAUAAAUGAAUGGACUUCAGCAUUCAUGGUUUUUAUGAGUGUCUACAUUGAGAAAUACAGCACACGGGCACAGGAAUUGUUAAAAUAUAUGCGCGAUAUAAGACUAGCGGCAACGAGGUCAGAAAACUGGGCCACCUAUGACGAGCAAUUUAGGCUAAAAAUAGAAAAGAAUCCAAAUUUAUCUUGGGGAAAUAUACACGGUGAAUAUUGGCUAUUACACAUCACAUCUCCCAUAGUACAAAACAGUGUGUCAGUGCAAUCAUAGGGUUAUAGAACAAAUACACAACAUCCGCUAAUCUGAUGAUUAUAAAUUCCUAACUGUCAGUAUUAAUUAUAAGCCAAUUCAACUAUAAAAGUGAUAACGUAUAAUGUUAACAUAACAAUCCUCCCUCUUUUAAUUUAGAAGAUCAAGAUAAACAAGAUUAAUCUCUAGUGAAUGAAAGUAAUAAAUUCAAUUUGCACUCAAUUGAACUAAAUAGCUACAAGUUUUACUGUCUAUAUUUUUAAUGUUCAAUUAUGAAAUCCUAAACCUACAGUUAUAUCACUACACUAACUUAACCACAA
rnacentral:lncRNA from 1 species